CAGCCAACUACUACACAGUUGCCAUGUCACACUUCAGACAUGACUGAUUUUAAUCUUGAGCAUAAUAAUGUCAUCAGAACUAUCAUUUUGGAUUUAGAGUUCAAACAGGCUAGUUUUGAUGGGAAUUAUUAAUAUUGCUGACUGUAACCACUGUACUACGAAGGAAGUAGAAUUGGUUUGGCAAUGGCUUUACCAGUAGUUGUGUUGAAUAUGCUUUAAUUUGGCAUAAGUAGGUGUGAGUGAUAAUGUUUUCCUUUUGCCCAGUACUUUAAAAUGUCAAAGAACUCUCAUCUGAUGGUUAGAGUGGGUACUGCCUUCAUUGGACAGCUGCACAAGUUGAGGCUCAGAGAGUUCAAGAUCACAAGAGCAGAACAUCUUUUCUUCGUGGAAUUCCUCAGCCUGACCUUUCCUGGGAGAACUGGUAGAGACUCCAGAGGUGCCUACCUUUGUUAGAUAUAUUGAAAACAUGUAUUCAACAUGCCACUCCUCUGCAAUACAUGUAAGUACAUUAAAAAAAAAAAAAAAACACUGAGAAAUCUUGGGGAAAGUAAACAUUUUGUGUAUUAAAAAUAUUCCAGUUUCUCUGAAUGAGUGAAGUUAUAUAUACAUGUGGUUCUGUAAUUUCUGACACUGCUAUGAUCCUCAAGCAAAGCUUUCAUUGAUGUUUCUUGACUGGGGUAAACUGGGAAUAUUCCAACACUUGACAAGGUUUGUUUUCACACUGCAACUCCUGGAGUUCCCUUCCUGGCUCAGCGGUUAACAAACCUGACUAGGACUCAUGAGGAUGCGGGUUUGAUCCCUGGCGUUGCUCCAUGGGUUAAAGAUCCGGCGUUGCUGUGAGCUGUGAUGUAGGUCGCAGACGAGGCUUGGAUCUGGCAUUGCUGUGGCUACAGCUCUGAUUCCACCCCUAGCCUGGGAACCUCCAUGUGCCCCUGGUGGGGCCCUAAAAUAGCGAAGAAAAAAAAUACAAAACAAAAGCACUGAAACUCCUAUAAGAAAGGUAUACCUUGAGAGGGAUAGAAAACAAAUAAAUAGAAGCCUCGUAGCAAUUGUAAAAAUGGUAAUG
rnacentral:lncRNA from 9 species